rnacentral:rRNA from 1 species
GACGAACGCUGGCGGCGUGCCUAAUACAUGCAAGUCGAGCGAGACUCUUCGGAGUCUAGCGGCGGACGGGUGAGUAACACGUGGGCAACCUGCCUGUAAGACUGGGAUAACACCGGGAAACCGGUGCUAAUACCGGAUAAUCCUUUUCCUCUCAUGAGGAAAAGCUGAAAGUCGGUUUCGGCUGACACUUACAGAUGGGCCCGCGGCGCAUUAGCUAGUUGGUGAGGUAACGGCUCACCAAGGCGACGAUGCGUAGCCGACCUGAGAGGGUGAUCGGCCACACUGGGACUGAGACACGGCCCAGACUCCUACGGGAGGCAGCAGUAGGGAAUCUUCCACAAUGGACGAAAGUCUGAUGGAGCAACGCCGCGUGAGCGAUGAAGGCCUUCGGGUCGUAAAGCUCUGUUGUUAGGGAAGAACAAGUACCGGAGUAACUGCCGGUACCUUGACGGUACCUAACCAGAAAGCCACGGCUAACUACGUGC